UACGUAGGGUGCAAGCGUUAAUCGGAAUUACUGGGCGUAAAGCGUGCGCAGGCGGUUGUGCACGACCGAUGUGAAAUCCCCGGGCUUAACCUGGGAAUGGCAUUGGUGACUGCACGGCUAGAGUGUGUCAGAGGGGGGGAGAAUUCCACGUGUAGCAGUGAAAUGCGUAGAGAUGUGGAGGAAUACCGAUGGCGAAGGCAGCCCCCUGGGAUAACACUGACGCUCAUGCACGAAAGCGUGGGGAGCAAACAGG
rnacentral:rRNA from 1 species